ACAGUGGCUUAAUUUGACUCAACGCGGGAAAUCUUACCGGGUCCGGACACACUGAGGAUUGACAGACAGUAUUCAUGCCGACUGAAUUUCGACAUAUUUCAAAUGUGCGAGUUCUUUCAUGAUUGUGUGAUAGGUGGUGCAUGGCCGUUCUUAGUUCGUGGAGUGAUCUGUCUGCUUAAUUGCGUUUCAUAUUUACGAAUGUCGCUUACGUGAUUGCUGCAGACCUCGUCUCUUUAUUGAGUGCGACGCGUCUCUUCAACUCACUCGCACAUUCUCUUGAACGCAACGAGCGUGACCGCAACCUCUUGUUGUGUAUACCAAGUGUGUCGUUGCUUGCAACUCACACUCCAAUGCACGUAUUUUGGUCACAUUGUCUCGGCCGUCGCGCGCAGCCUCGGCUGUGUCGGCGCCAGCAAUGUCCAAAUAAACUUGAGGGACCGCUGUAACAAUUCUUUUAAACCAGAGGAAGGUUGCGGCAAUAACAGG
rnacentral:rRNA from 1 species